rfam:Soboliphyme baturini genome assembly, scaffold: SBAD_scaffold0007822
UAAAAAGCUUUAUUUAAAGCCAUCUUACAUAUCCAUUUAAGAGAACU